GGUCGGUUAGUGUAGUUGGUUAUCACAUCGGAUUCUGAUUUCUGAUCUUGUUUAUCUCGAUCUUCGACGAGACUUCCGGUAACCGGGGUUCGAAUCCCCGACUGACCU